rnacentral:rRNA from 1 species
UACGUAGGGGGCGAGCGUUGUCCGGAUUUAUUGGGCGUAAAGAGCUCGUAGGCGGUUUGGCAAGUCGGGUGUGAAAACUCCGGGCUCAACUCGGAGACGCCACUCGAUACUGCCAUGACUCGAGUCCGGUAGGGGAGUGCGGAAUUCCUGGUGUAGCGGUGAAAUGCGCAGAUAUCAGGAGGAACACCAGUGGCGAAGGCGAGUCCCUGGACAACACCUGACACUGAGGCACGAAAGCCGGGGGGGCAAACAGG